GCCCAAUCUCCUAUGUGACGUGGUUUUAAGUUAACCGGGCUUUAUUUUGUAACUCUACCUUAUCGCAUCUAAAACAAAAAUAACUCAGAAGACAUAUUCGAUGAUUGUAAAGCUCUCUUCCACUACUAUUGUAUUUAUACAUUGGUGAUUCUUGUUGUUCCUUCGAUUCUUCCCAACAUACUGAAUCAUGAAGAUUCAUCAUAUUUCCAUUCGAGGUUAUUUUAUCAUCCUAUUUAUCUUAAUUUUUUCUUAUUAAUCAAGUGAUAAUGUAAGGAGUUUUUCGAUUUUAUCUUUUUUAAUUUGUUCUAGUUGCACAUUAGAUGAAAUUAAAUUAGAUUGAUUCUAAUUUUUUUUACUAAUUUCAUUACAUUAAGAUGUUUGAUCGAUAACAGGUUUAUUUCUAUGAUGAUAUUUCUAUAUAUUCAUCUUAAUUCAGAAUGUACACUAGGUGUUUGAUUAAAUGUCUUAGUGAACUUUUGUGCUAAUAUGGCAUAAAAGCAUAGUCUGUUAUCUAAAAUGGGUAUCAGAUGUCUAAUAAGUUCAUUUGGUGUCAUGUUGAAUCCACUGUAACUGUGGUAUAAGAGGUGACUCAUCGCCUAAAUACAUUAUUAUAAAGCUUGCUUUUCCUUUAGUACAUUGAUGUCCUCAUCUUUCUUGCAACUUGAAUUAAAAAAUUUAUGAAUGAUAACAUAUAUUCAAAGAUCACCAGUUAUAAAUGAAGACCAAUACUACUAAUUAGUCCUUACAGAAUUGCCACCUUAUCGGUCAAAAUCUUGAUCACGAACAUGGGUGUUUUCAUUUCCACCUCAAAUAUUCCAUCGCCAAAAUUGGAUGAUUCCAUCAUAGAAAUAUCAAGAGUAUUGGAUAGAUUUUCAAGAAAUAUACCUUCGGAAAACUCCUAUUGGCCUUCAAAAGCAUACCAGCAAAUCAAAAUUGAGAGGAAGUUUUAUACAUGACAGAACCAGAAAAAUGGUUACCAAAUGCAGUUUAUACAUGAGUUCAAGUAAAGUAACAAAGUUUUACAAAUUUGUUUUACUCCCUCGUAUCAGAUCAGAUAUACGCAAGAACAAGAAGCUUUAAUGAAUGGCCAAAAUGUGAAGAGAUGUUGUAAUUUUAUCAGCAGUCGAACCGAGGUUGAAUUCGAUUUUUUGGGACAGGGGCAAAAUCGUCCAAUAAGAGGAAAACCCCCAUCAAACUUAUGUGUAGAUUAACCCAACAGUAACCAAGACAUUACAUAUUGCAGUUUAACAUGUUUUAACACAUCAUCUCGUUACAAUAUCUUGAAUUGGGUUUCUUUGCUCGAGAUUUGGUGAGAAUACUUGAAGAAUUCAAAGAAUUGUAAAAACUCAAAAAAAAAAAAAAAACUUUGGGUUGUUGUAUAGUAACUAAACCAUGUAUAUGUUGACAAAAAGUGUGUCAUACUUACUUUUAUAAGCAGAAAUAGCAACCCACUUUUCAUUUUA